rnacentral:rRNA from 1 species
GACGAACGCUGGCGGCGCGCCUAACACAUGCAAGUCGAACGAGCGAGCGAGAGCUUGCUUUCUUGAGCGAGUGGCGAACGGGUGAGUAACGCGUGAGGAACCUGCCUCAAAGAGGGGGACAACAGUUGGAAACGACUGCUAAUACCGCAUAAGCCCACGACCCGGCAUCGGGUUGAGGGAAAAGGAGCAAUCCGCUUUGAGAUGGCCUCGCGUCCGAUUAGCUAGUUGGUGAGGUAACGGCCCACCAAGGCGACGAUCGGUAGCCGGACUGAGAGGUUGAACGGCCACAUUGGGACUGAGACACGGCCCAGACUCCUACGGGAGGCAGCAGUGGGGAAUAUUGCACAAUGGGGGAAACCCUGAUGCAGCGACGCCGCGUGGAGGAAGAAGGUCUUCGGAUUGUAAACUCCUGUUGUGGAGGAAGAUAAUGACGGUACUCAACAAGGAAGUGACGGCUAACUACGUG